UAUCUUGGUGUAAUCUGUAGGCCUCUUUUAUUACUUUCACACACACUAUAGAAUAACUGUCUACCAUUGAUAGGCAUCAUGGCAUACACUGACAAAGGCAGCAAGUUUUUUUCCCUUGGCCGGAAGGUCUGGGUAAUCUUGUGAAACUUUGUCGUGCUGGGGAUAGUCCUUUGUAAUUAUUGGACUUCAACGAGGAAUUCCUAGUAAGCGCGAGUCAUCAGCUCGCGUUGAUUACGUCCCUGCCCUUUGUACACACCGCCCGUCGCUACUACCGAUUGAAUGGCUUAGUGAGACUUCCGGAUC
rnacentral:ncRNA from 1 species